rnacentral:rRNA from 1 species
AUUAAACUGAAGAGUUUGAUCCUGGCUCAGAUUGAACGCUGGCGGCAUGCCUUACACAUGCAAGUCGAACGGCAGCACGGGAGCAAUCCUGGUGGCGAGUGGCGAACGGGUGAGUAAUACAUCGGAACGUGCCCUGUCGUGGGGGAUAACUAGUCGAAAGAUUAGCUAAUACCGC